rnacentral:rRNA from 1 species
AACGAACGCUGGCGGCAUGCCUAACACAUGCAAGUCGAACGAGACCGGCGGGUCUAGUGGCGCACGGGUGCGUAACGCGUGGGAACCUGCCCUUAGGUUCAGAAUAACUUCCCGAAAGGGGUGCUAAUACCGGAUAAUGUCUUCGGACCAAAGAUUUAUCGCCAUUGGAUGGGCCCGCGUUGGAUUAGCUAGUUGGUAGGGUAAAAGCCUACCAAGGCGACGAUCCAUAGCUGGUCUGAGAGGAUGAUCAGCCAAACUGGGACUGAGACACGGCCCAGACUCCCACGGGAGGCAGCAGUGGGGACUAUUGGACAAUGGGCGAGAGCCUGAUCCAGCAAUGCCGCGUGAGUGAUGAAGGCCUUAGGGUUGUAAAGCUCUUUUACCCGGGAUGCUAAUGACAGUACCGGGCGAAUAAGCUCCGGCUAACUCCGUG